GGGGCCCGGGUGUAGUCUACAGUGCAUGUGUCUCCAGGGACACUAGACAGCUGGAGACACAGCUCUGUUGGAUACAACCGAAGCCAC